rnacentral:lncRNA from 1 species
AUCUCUAUCUAAAGUCUAAAUUAGGACUAGUACCAUUAACACGGUGAUGGUUACGACCAUCUAACAAAUCUGGUUAAUAGCCAGUUUCUUCAAUUCCAUAGGUACGUAGCAGACCAUUGAAUCUUUUAUUGUAGGUAUUUAAGGAUGUUGUAUUGUGGAUGAAUUGUGUCAUGUGUUGGAAUGUGUUGAUGUUCGUUGCAUUUAGUCAUUUAUUACUCUAUGUUAAUAGAUGAACAAAGAGAACAAAGAUUACAUGUAGUAAUAGUAUUACUAUAUAGUAUGCAGGUUAAAUAUCUUUUGUUUUCUUUAUGCACAGUGUAGGUACAUGGAGGUGUUGCUAAGAAUUUAAAGUGCUUUUGGCCGCUAGGAAACAAGUGGAUCCUAAUGUUAAAGUACAUGUUAAAUCGCUUGAAGAUGCAGAUUUAGAUGAUGUUGUUAACAGUGCAAAUCGCAUGCUACAAACUGCAUUGUCAUUACUGGGGAGGGAAUGACUAAUGGAGGUAUAAUAUUCUUUUUACUAUUUUAAACAGGAUAAUGAAAAAGAAAUGUAAAUAGUUAUGCAGACCAUGUUAACUGUAUCUUUGGUUGAGUGUACAAGGAAAUGAAUGAGAUAGUAAAUGGGAAAUGCUUAUGGAGUUUAUGGUUAUUUGCAGGCAAUGGAAUUAAAUGCUAUUGGAGAUAUGGGCGAACAAGAUCUGGCAGGUUAUAUGGCAGACAACAGCUUAUUUACUAUGUGAUACAGUCACGAACUGGGAGGGAUAUUGUUUGUACGAGUCAUUAUUUGUAAACAAAGGAAAUGUCUUCUGGUGGGGGUUGACUUGAAGGUGCAUAUUAUAAUAUGCAUGAUGAUCAGAAGAACUCGAUCUGUAAUUUUUUUAUUAAUUUUUUUUUUUUGGAUUAUUAAUAUAUCAUGC